rnacentral:rRNA from 1 species
UACGUAGGGUGCAAGCGUUGUCCGGAAUUAUUGGGCGUAAAGAGCUCGUAGGCGGUCUGUCGCGUCGGCUGUGAAAACCCGGAGCUCAACUCCGGGCCUGCAGUCGAUACGGGCAGACUGGAGUUCGGCAGGGGAGACUGGAAUUCCUGGUGUAGCGGUGAAAUGCGCAGAUAUCAGGAGGAACACCGAUGGCGAAGGCAGAUCUCUGGGCCGUAACUGACGCUGAGGAGCGAAAGCAUGGGGAGCGAACAGG